rnacentral:tRNA from 1 species
GCCGAAGUGGCGAAACUGGUAGACGCACAGCGUUCAGAGCGCUGCGGGAGCAAUCUCAUGUGGGUUCAAAUCCCACCUUCGGCA